rnacentral:rRNA from 1 species
UACGAAGGGGGCUAGCGUUGCUCGGAAUCACUGGGCGUAAAGGGUGCGUAGGCGGGUCUUUAAGUCAGGGGUGAAAUCCUGGAGCUCAACUCAGAACUGCCUUUGAUACUGAAGAUCUUGAGUUCGGGAGAGGUGAGUGGAACUGCGAGUGUAGAGGUGAAAUUCGUAGAUAUUCGCAAGAACACCAGUGGCGAAGGCGGACUCACUGGCCCGAUACUGACGCUGAGGCACGAAAGCGUGGG